AACAAUAAACUAAUCACGAUUGUAUUGCACAAGAACCAAUGAGACGUGUUCUAAAGGACAAGGAAAAAACUUACAGCCACGACGGUUGACAGCAAAACCGCUAUAAUCGCCCAUUUUAUUGGAUUUUUCAUGACAAUAUUAAAAGACUGGGAUGCAAAUAGUAAUUGCAAUGUUUGUUGAGCGUAGAUGCAAAGUUUGGUGUAGCUGAAAUUUUAAAGGUAGUUAACAAAUUCUUCGACGUAUUGUGCGCACACCAAAAAAAAGCAGUUAUAAUUAAAUGAAUUCAGAAAAACAACCACAUUUUGAAAAUAGGCCUGUGUCUUUGGUUAGUAUCGGUAAAACAUUUUCAUUUAUUUUCUGGCCUUCACGUGGCAUAUGCCAAAAACCUCUAAUUUGUUUUAAAACAGGUUUUUAACUCUUAUCUUUCGAAAAGUUGUUAUAGUUACCACUUGACUGUAUAUUAAUUGAUCAUUAGUGGGUAUAAUACAAGCAUUAGGACUUGCAAAUGCUCAUAAUUUUAUGCCUUUUUUUUACUUUCAUGUAUUACUUGUUGUAGCAAUAGGAACCAAUGCCAAUCCUUUUAA